AAUUCAGUGGAUGCAGAACGUGCAGUCUCAAUAUAUGGGCAAGUCAACUACAGAGGGAUGCUGCAUGCUUGCCUUUAACAAGUGACAGCACUCUGUUUUAUUAAGGAAGUAAGUACCACAAUUUUUAGGCUUUAUAGUGUUCUGAAAUACUGUCUGCUUAGGUUUAUUUAAUGUUUAAACAGGUCCGCGAAAUGUCCGCAAAAUCCUAAUUUUAUUCCGCAACAUACCCGUGAAAAAUACGGAAAUUUACCGCGAUUUAAGUAGACACCAUAUUAUUGUUAAUAAAACAAUUAAUAAUCCUCUCCCAACACCGAGACCCUAAACCUAAGGUUAGUAUUCUAUACAAAAGCCAUUACACAUCUAAAGUAGUUCGUGUUUGGCAGAGAAUAAUUUUUGUUACUUAAGAAAAAAAGUGAGCAGAGGUGCUGGCUUUCUCAGUUGCCCUUACAGGAACAUUUCGUGGUACCUUUGUAAGCACUGCUAAGAAACCCACACAGUAUACAAGUGUGGGUGUCGGGGCUGGUUGAGGACGGGGCAGACUCACCCGGAGGAACAUUUAAAUAAAGAUUGGAGAUUGCAGCAGGAUUGUGCAGAGCAGUAACCGCGGAGUGAGUUUUUAAAAACAGCGAGUGGAGUACGAGCAAACCCAGCGAUCAAGGAUUACUGAGCACGAUCCGGAGCUGCAGCCGCAGGCCAGCGAAAAACCCGGACUUCACCACUCACCUUUCACUACCAACUGUCUUUGUGUUUGCACCUUUUAGCACUUGAAUCACGCACUGUCUUUUGUGUUCGUGUUUAGUGUGGGUGUCGGAACGGGACUUUGGGGUUGCGGGUCAAACCCGCGGGAUUAUAAAUUAGAAGUGAUACACGCCGCUGUAUCACUUCCAGCACUAUUAUCAUUUACAGGUUUUGCCUUGAGGCUCUGGACAUUUACAAAAAUAAAUAAACACCCUUGCACCUGUACCAACGUCUGUCUGUGUGAUUCUUCUGCACUGCACUCACCUGCACGUCAUUACCACUUUGCCACACAGCACCAGUAGGCAACGUGAAAGAGCACUGUGUGGAUUUGCCUGUGCGUGGAUUACAAACAGCAGUAUUAGUUACCUAGAGACCUAUCUGCUUACUUUUGAACUGUGUGCUCAAGCACUGAUAAAGGAAACACACGACACAGACUGUGUAAUUUUAUUUUUAGUCGUGGUGUAUAACGCCAGCAUGGAUACUGCUGGUCCAGCUAGUGUCCAUUCCUUCUUCCACCAGCAGAGGUCUCCUGCUAACCUUGAAAGAAAAAGAAACAGACGCUUCAUUUAUUUGAAAUACAGGACUGUGUAACUAUCAUUACGACCUCUAUGUACCUGAUGUCCUUGUGUGGGCCAGACUGGACACCUUUCCUCUUGUGUGGAGGGAAGUAAAACCUGGAGAACGUACCUGAAACACCUGGAAGGGAACAAAGUAACAGUUACAGCCCAGUCCUGGGUUUGGAUUAUAAAUGCACCUUUAAAACCUGUACUUACCUUUGUGGAGGUCACUUUUGAAAGGGUGUGGCAGGAACCUGUACCAACCAGGAAGAUCUGAGACUGGAACUAUUUUUGUUUAGUUCUCCAGUAGGGUGGUUUUUGUACUGCAGUAAUUUUACUACACACUGCAGUAUUUUAUUUUAUUUUUACUACACACUGCAGUCAUUUUUAUUUGCACAGGGCUUAGCCUCUGCAAGGAUAGACAGGGAUCAAGAAGUGAGCGAGGGCCCAAGUGGGCAGGUGUUAUUUUGGUUUUUGUUUAUUUUUAUUGCUACAAAUACACUGUGUGUUGCCGUGAAAAAUAAAAGCCUGCCCAGGUUAAACCCACA